rnacentral:rRNA from 1 species
CACGUAGGGCGCGAGCGUUGUCCGGAAUUAUUGGGCGUAAAGAGCUCGUAGGCGGCCUGUUGCGUCCGCUGUGAAAGCCCGGGGCUUAACCCCGGGUCGGCAGUGGAUACGGGCAGGCUAGAGGUAGGUAGGGGAGAAUGGAAUUCCCGGUGUAGCGGUGAAAUGCGCAGAUAUCGGGAGGAACGCCGGUGGCGAAGGCGGUUCUCUGGGCCUUACCUGACGCUGAGGAGCGAAAGCGUGGGGAGCGAACAGG